CAGUAGCCGCGGUAAUACGUAGGUGGCAAGCGUUGUCCGGAAUUAUUGGGCGUAAAGGGCUCGCAGGCGGUUUCUUAAGUCUGAUGUGAAAGCCCCCGGCUCAACCGGGGAGGGUCAUUGGAAACUGGGAAACUUGAGUGCAGAAGAGGAGAGUGGAAUUCCACGUGUAGCGGUGAAAUGCGUAGAGGUGUGGAGGAACACCAGUGGCGAAGGCGACUCUCUGGUCUGUAACUGACGCUGAGGAGCGAAAGCGUGGGGAGCGAACAGGAUUAGAUACCCGUGUAGUCCCUGUCUCUUAUAA
rnacentral:rRNA from 1 species